rnacentral:rRNA from 1 species
GAUACCUGGCUCAGGAUGAACGCUAGCUACAGGCUUAACACAUGCAAGUCGAGGGGCAGCGUGAACUUAGCUUGCUAAGUUUGAUGGCGACCGGCGCACGGGUGAGUAACACGUAUCCAACCUGCCGAUGACUCGGGGAUAGCCUUUCGAAAGAAAGAUUAAUACCCGAUGGCAUAGUUCUUCCGCAUGGUAGAACUAUUAAAGAAUUUCGGUCAUCGAUGGGGAUGCGUUCCAUUAGGUUGUUGGG